rnacentral:rRNA from 1 species
UAGGGAAUCUUCCGCAAUGGACGCAAGUCUGACGGAGCAACGCCGCGUGAGUGAAGAAGGAUUUCGGUUCGUAAAACUCUGUUGUUAGAGAAGAACAGCGCAUAGAGUAACUGUUAUGCGUGUGACGGUAUCUAACCAGAAAGCCACGGCUAACUACGUGCCAGCAGCCGCGGUAAUACGUAGGUGGCAAGCGUUGUCCGGAUUGAUUGUGCGUAAAGCGAGCGCAGGCGGUCAAUUAAGUCUGAUGUGAAAGCCCCCGGCUCAACCGGGGAGGGUCAUUGGAAACUGGAUGACUUGAGUGAAGAAGAGGAGAGUGGAAUUCCAAGUGUAGCGGUGAAAUGCGUAGAUAUAUGGAGGAAAACCAGUGGCGAAGGCGACUCUCUGGUCUGUAACUGACGCUGAGGCUCGAAAGCGUGGGUAGCAAACAGG